GAUGAACGCUGGCGGCGUGCCUAAUACAUGCAAGUCGAGCGAACAGACGAUGAGCUUGCUCCCCUGACGUUAGCGACUGACGGGCGAGUAACACGUACAUAACCUACUUAUAAGACUGGGAUAACUUCGUGAAAACGGAGCUACUACUAGAUCAUAUAUCCUACCGCAUGGAUCAAUAGUGCAAGACGCCUUUGCUGUCACAUAUAGCUGGAUCCGUGUCGGAUUAGCUAGUUGGUAAGGUAACGGCCUACCAAGGCGACGAUGCGUAGCUGAUCUGAGAGGGUGAUCAGCCACACUGGAACUGAGACACGGUCCAGACUCCUACGGGAGGCAGCAGUGGGGAAUAUUGGACAAUGGGCGAAAGCCUGAUCGAGCAACGCCGCGUGAGUGAUGAAGGUCUUCGGGUCGUAAAGCUCUGUUGUUAGGAAAGAAAAGAAGUGGGAGUAUCUAUGGAUGUCUUGACGGUACUUAAACAAAAAGCAACGGCUAACUACGUG
rnacentral:rRNA from 1 species